rnacentral:rRNA from 1 species
GAUGAACGCUGGCGGCGUGCCUAAUACAUGCAAGUCGAGCGAAUGGAUUAAGAGCUUGCUCUCAUGAAGUUAGCGGCGGACUGGUGAGUAACACGUGGGUAACCUGCCCAUAAGACUGGGAUAACUCCGGGAAACCGGGGCUAGUACCGGAUAAUAUUUUGAACUGCAUGGUUCAAAAUUGAAAGGCGGCUUCGGCUGUCACUUAUGGAUGGACCCGCGUCGCAUUAGCUAGUUGGUGAGGUAACGGCUCACCAAGGCAACGAUGCGUAGCCGACCUGGGAGGGUGAGCGGCCACACUGGGACUGAGAGACGGCCCAGACGCCUACGGGAGGCAGCAGUAGGGAAUCUUCCGCAAUGGACGAAAGUCUGACGGAGCAACGCCGCGUGAGUGAUGAAGGCUUUCGGGUCGUAAAACUCUGUUGUUAGGGAAGAACAAGUGCUAGUUGAAUAAGCUGGCACCUUGACGGUACCUAACCAGAAAGCCACGGCUAACUACGUGCCAGCCGCCGCGGUAA